AAGAAGCUGCAAGACGAGUAAAUGCCGGACAAGCUUUUAGUAAUUGGUGAGAGCUUCACGAAAUAAAAGGCUGCAAGACAAACAGAGCUGCAGAGCUGGCCAUCUUGCUGUUGGACUAUGAACCAUACUGGUUUGCAGAGCAGAUUUUCAACAUCAAAAUCUCUGGGUUUUUCUCUUCAGCUGCAGGAUUUAUGCCUCACUGUGGCCUUCAGAAAUAAAGUAAAGACCACUUUAAUGACUUGCCGGAGCAAUGCAACAUUCCACCUACUGCUCUCGACUGCACCUUAGUGAUUUACCUGCCAACAGGACUUCAUGUACAUCCAAGAGGUGAGAGCAGAACAGAGCAAGGUGUGUAACUUGCUGCAGCCACCCAUCAUGUAGAAAUCCUUAUGGUUGUUCACUUGCUCUGCCAAUUUAAAUGAAAUAAAAGCCU